GAAAUGCGAUAAGUAAUGUGAAUUGCAGAAUUCAGUGAAUCAUCGAAUCUUUGAACGCACCUUGCGCUCCUUGGUAUUCCUUGGAGCAUGCCUGUUUGAAUAUCAUGAAAUCUUCAAAGUAAAUCUUUUGUUAACUCAAUUGGUUUCUACUUUGGUAUUGGAGGUCUUUGCAGCUUCACACCUGCCCCUCUUUGUUCAUUAGCUGGAUCUCAGUGUUAUGCUUGGUUCCACUCGGCGUGAUAAGUUAUCUAUCGCUGAGGACACUGUAAAAGGUGGCCAAGGUAAAUGCAGAUGAACCGCUUCUAAUAGUCCAUUGACUUGGACAAUACUUUUAUGAUCUGAUCUCAAAUCAGGUAGGACUACCCGCUGAACUUAAGC
rnacentral:misc_RNA from 1 species